AGUCGAGCGAACAGACGAGGAGCUUGCUCCUCUGACGUUAGCGGCGGACGGGUGAGUAACACGUGGAUAACCUACCUAUAAGACUGGGAUAACUUCGGGAAACCGGAGCUAAUACCGGAUAAUAUAUUGAACCGCAUGGUUCAAUAGUGAAAGACGGUUUUGCUGUCACUUAUAGAUGGAUCCGCGCCGCAUUAGCUAGUUGGUAAGGUAACGGCUUACCAAGGCAACGAUGCGUAGCCGACCUGAGAGGGUGAUCGGCCACACUGGAACUGAGACACGGUCCAGACUCCUACGGGAGGCAGCAGUAGGGAAUCUUCCGCAAUGGGCGAAAGCCUGACGGAGCAACGCCGCGUGAGUGAUGAAGGUCUUCGGAUCGUAAAACUCUGUUAUUAGGGAAGAACAAAUGUGUAAGUAACUAUGCACGUCUUGACGGUACCUAAUCAGAAAGCCACGGCUAACUACGUGCCAGCAGCCGCGGUAAUACGUAGGUGGCAAGCGUUAUCCGGAAUUAUUGGGCGUAAAGCGCGCGUAGGCGGUUUUUUAAGUCUGAUGUGAAAGCCCACGGCUCAACCGUGGAGGGUCAUUGGAAACUGGAAAACUUGAGUGCAGAAGAGGAAAGUGGAAUUCCAUGUGUAGCGGUGAAAUGCGCAGAGAUAUGGAGGAACACCAGUGGCGAAGGCGACUUUCUGGUCUGUAACUGACGCUGAUGUGCGAAAGCGUGGGGAUCAAACAGGAUUAGAUACCCUGGUAGUCCACGCCGUAAACGAUGAGUGCUAAGUGUUAGGGGGUUUCCGCCCCUUAGUGCUGCAGCUAACGCAUUAAGCACUCCGCCUGGGGAGUACGACCGCA
rnacentral:rRNA from 2 species